rnacentral:lncRNA from 1 species
CAGCUGCCUCAGUGACAUCGCCAUAGGAUGUCAUUUCCCUAAGAUUUGCUGUGGCACAGCUUUGCUCCACAAUUUUUCAUUCAUUGCCUUUAAAUAUUUAUAUUUAUUUACUUUGUGUGCUUUGGUGUUUUGCCUGCAUGUAUGUCUUUGUGAAGGGUUUAGAUCCUGGAGUUACAGACAGCUGUGAGCCUCCAUGUGGGUGCUGGGAAUUGAACCUGGGUUCUCUGGAAGAGCAGCCAAUGCCCUUGACCAUUGAGCCAUCCCUCCAGCUUCACCCUUUUUUGUUUGUUUGUUUUAUCCCUCACAAACUUCAUCAGAGUUUAGUCCUGUUUUACAGAUAAGACUCAAGAAAGUGGAUUCCCCAAGCUUGACCUGCCUGAUUCCAGAACCUACAUAAGCCCUCAAGCACCCCCCUAGGGAAACAAGCCAGCCCCCCCCCCAAAAAAAACCCCAAAGCUUCCCAGGCAACACUGAAAAGCCACCUGUCCUUCACCACCCUAGGAAUGUCCAGAGGUAGGCCACCCAGAGCUGGCAAGAAAUCACAGUGGGCUCAGGCAGAGUCUACUGUUCCCACAGCCCUAACCUCUUCUCCCGGGGCGGUUUCAUUCUAGUGUCUCAAAAAUGAGAGCCACUUAGGUUUUCAUGAGGAGUGGGCAGGCAGCAAGCCAGGGUGUCCUGGCACAUGAGAAGAGACUGAGCUCAGCUUGGCACACUGGCUGGGCACAGCCUGGCCAGCAUCACAGGACACGUGGGUGUGUCAGAGUAGCCAUAGUUGCUUUUGUUAGUUGGGAAUGACUGCAUUCAGAAGUGGGGAGGAAGGGCCCAGACCAAAUGAGUGAGGGAGCCCCGCAAACUCCCAGAGUUACAAAGCAGAGAUCUGCAGCUGAAGCUGGCAAAGAAGGCACACUGGGGGGUCUGGGUCGUCCCCCACCCCCACCCCAUAGCACGGCUCCCAGCCUGGGACUCUGUGUCCACCUGCCCCCGUGCAGUUCUCCUUAUCAUUCUGGGAACUCUCAGGGGUUGCAUUACUCCUGUGCUCGAGAACAGGUGAAUGGGACGUCCCACCCUUACGCUAGAAGAUCUGUGCCCAUCAGUGGCAUCCACGAACAUAUGACACAAUAGGACUCCGUUUCUCUCCAGGCAACCCCAGGAUCUGCCCUCACCUUCCAAAAGGGAGUGCAGAUUUUAGGGCCAUAGAAAGUUGGGUUGAAAAUGUCAAUGCCUUUCCUUUUAGGUGUGGGACUCUAAGCCUCCCUGGGCCUCACAUUCCUAGUCUCCUAACUGGUGGGAAGUUGUGGUAAAAGUGCCCAUGACAGGGCUGGAAGGAUGUUGCAGUGAAUACAUGCGUACUGCUCUUGGCCGAGGAUUCAAGUUUGGUUCCCAGCAUCCGCAGCAUCAGACAAGUCACAACCACCUAGAAUACAACUCCAGUCCCCGGAGGACCGGAUGCGUCUGGCCUGCGAGAGCACCGGCCUUCAUGUGCACAUAACCACACGCACACGAUUCCAAAACUGCUCUUAAAAAGGAAUACUACUGCUUCUCAAGUGCCUACUACACACCAGUAUAUUUCGUGGAUUAUUGCACUAAACCUUCAAAACUAUUCUGUGGGCCAGGAGGAACUGAAUUCAAUGUCCAGCACACACAAAAACAGAUCUAGGUAUGGCAGCACAUGCCUGUCAUCCAAGAACCAGGGAGGCAGACACACGGGGUCCCUGGAGCUUGCUGGCCAGGCAAUUGAGCAGAACUGGUUUCAGGUUGAGAAACCCUGUUUUAAGAACGAAAAGACCUUUGUCCUCCAUGCACAAUCGCAUGUGCACGUGCAUGUGCACACACACAAAUUGUGUGAGGUGGUGCUAUUAACUGCUCCCACCUGAUCGACAGACCACAGCUUGGGUUAAGUCGCAAGCUGCAGAGCUGGGACGUAGAUCCUGAACCCCGACCCUGUGGUUCUCUGUGUUGUCUGCUACUCGUGUGUGCUCCUGACUGGUGUGGCUAGAUAUCCACAACUGGGUGGCUCUCUACCCCUGCAGUGACAACCGGAAGUGCUGAGCUCAGCCCCCUGCGCGCCUGCCCUUUGAACCCGUGACAAGCUUUUCCUGGCCACCUCCCUGAAAGUCCUUACUCUUUCCCCAGGGCCCAGCUGUGGCCUAACAUCCUGUGGGUGUGUGUGGCUCACGCACGGCAAGGGCAGUUGGUUCCUGGCAGCCUGUGUGAUCUGCUGUGUCUGCCUUUGCCUCCUCUCAUGUGACCACUGUCUAGGCGCAGGAGAGCCCCGUUCCACUGGGUCAUCAUGGUGCUUCCCAGGAAGGCCUUUUCCUGGACGGCCCUUCUUACUCAUCUGCGGUGCUCAGGCCUUUAUCUCACUUUCUCAGAGACCAGACUCUGCCUCCCAGACCCAAAUGCAGUCAAAACUACCGUUCCCUUUGGACUUUAUUACCUCAACCCCAAGCUGUUUGAUUUUGGGGGGCAGAUUCACAAUGGCUCUGCGCACCGGCAUCUCCCUGCCCAGCACGGAACUCCCAUAUGUUAAAUGAGUGAAGGAAAUGGAAGCUUGCCUAGGCCCCAUGACCUAAGGGAGCCCAGAAGGCAAGACCUGUCCCCCCAUCCUAGCUUCCUGAACCAAUUCCCAGCAGAAACCAAACCAGAAGAACAGCCCGCUCAGCGCAGACCCAGCUCUCAGUUUGGCACCCUCCCCCCGCCCCCCCCGACUUGAGCAUCAAGGCUGCAGCCUGGGUUGCCAGUUUCUUUAGAAAAAAGACAGCGACAGUGGCUGGUGUCAUUAAGUCCCUAUGUCUCAAGCUUCACAAUAACCCUUGGAAAUAGCAUUUCUGUUUUCAUUAUACACUGGAGAAAGCUAAAUCUAAGAGAAGCCCUAUCUGCAAAGUUCUCUAGCAUGAAUCCAGUGACUGACGCCACAUGGUCAGGGCUGGCAUAUCUUAAUCCCAAACUUUUGCUCCUCUGAGACAUGCAGUCCAAGGCGAAAAUCUGCAUGAGGCCCUACCUAGUAGGCUACGUGUAUUCAAGCACACUGAGUUCUCUGAAUCCUGAAGGCUAUCUCCACCCUCACUGUCCCUUAGGGCACGGAUUAACUGGACAAGUAUUUACAGAAUUCCUACAGUGCACUAGACACUUGAGAAACAAAACGAAACAAAAAAACCCAGAGUCCGUUCUUACAGUCUAUGAUAGUAGAAAAUAGGCAAAUGUGUGUCCGAUUACAAAUAGCCAUAAUGCAAAGGAAAACGAGAGCAGACACCAAGUGAUAACAAGAGCAAUAGAAUUUAGACUAGGGUGAGGGAGUGGCCAGAGAUAAGAUUAUACAUUAAUGCAACAGGCUAAUUAGCCGGUUGGUUAGUCUGGACCAGAGAGGUAGUCAGGGCCUCCUGCCGGGGCUACAGAGAACCCGAACCCUAGCUUUCUGCGCAUUUUCCUUUCCCUGCGCGGUAGGGGAUUGUGAGGAGAGAAUGCUACGGCCAUUUUGCCAUUUUCUGAAGUAAAGAGCUCCUGAGAUUGGAGAUCCGGGUGACUCCAGAAUAAGGGCGACAGAAGUCAUACGUGACUUUUUAUUUUAUUUUUAUUUUUGGACGCUUUGGGCUAAAACAGGAAGGGUAGGGUCUUCCACGCCCUGAUGCAUUGGAGCAGCUGGCGUCUUGCCUCCCUCCCCAACCCAGAAUGUGGUGCUUUAUCGCCACCUGGUGGUUGUAGUGGACACUGCAUGGGGUGGCCGGACCCCGCCGCCUAGGGUAGGAUACAGAGCUCAGCUCUUUUGGCGCAGAGGCUAACAAACCCGCAGGAGGUUUGGGUGACUUCCCGGCAGGGGGCAGAGGUGGGGAGAGGGAGCGAGGGUGGUGCAUGGGGAACCGCUGCUUGAAAGUCAACUGACUGGGGACCGACAAUGGCUUCAUUGUGUCCGGGGCCUUGACCUUGAUUUCCUGCCACUCUCAUCCCUGGACUAUGGCAUCACCAGGGUCUGAUUGGCCAGGAAUCCUCAUUGGCGACAGUGGGCGGGCUGCAGGGUUGGACACUUGUCCUUGGGCUCCCCAAAGGCUAAGACAGUGCUGGCCCUGCGCCCCUCAGGAAACCCACGGGGCGGGGCAGCUUGUGGCGGGUGACUCUUGGGAGUCAGCUGGAGAUCCUUCGCCAGUAGGAGGCAGACACUGCAGAUCCUGUAAGGCAGUGAGGCCUAAGACCCGAGAUCUGCAGUUUGUGCCACCGGGCUCCAUCCAGCUUAGGUCUAGAAUUCUUGUGCACAGAGAGUAGCACCUCCAGUUUUGUUUUGUUUUGUUUGUUUGUUUGUUUGUUUUGUUUUGUUUUAAUUGCUCACACACAGUUACACAUUUCCAAUAUAAAAGGCUUUACACAAUGUAAUAAAAAACGAAAACUGCUGCCUUCAGUCAGCACGUCUCAGGUAGCUUAUUCCUUUACUGUGUACCCUUACUGAUCCCAUUCAAUGUAUUUAUACCCCAAUUUGUGCCUAUAAAAAUGUUUGGCCAGGGCAGAGCCUGGUGACACAGGCCUGGAAAGCCCAAUGAUGAUAGAAGGUUCAAGACCAACCAAGGCAUCUUAAGGAAACCCUGUUUCAAUGUUUCUCCUCCUCCUCCUCUUCCUCCUCCUCUUCCUCCUCCUCCUCCUCCUUCUCUUCCUCCUUUUCCUCCUCCUCCUCUUCCUCCUUCUCCUCCUCCUCCUCUUCCUCCUCUUCCUCCUCUUCCUCUUCCUCCUCUUCCUCCUCCUUCUCUUCCUUCUUCUUUUUAACCUAAAAAGAAGGCCAGUGAUAUAGCUGAAUGACAGAGCUUGCCUAGCCACGUGGUAAGCUCCUAGAUUCAAUGUAGCGCCACAAAAAGAAGGGAAAAAAAGACAGGAUGCUCAGUUGGAGGCAUAACCCAGCAGUGGAAAACUUGCCUAGCAUGUGCAAGGCUCAGGUUCAAUAGCUAGCAGCAUGGCCAUGUGCAUGCAUGCAUGAGCAUGCAUGCGUGCGCGCAUGCAUGUGUGAACACACACACAAACACACAUAUAUAUGUACACACACAUACACAUGUAUUAUUUUUAUGUUCUAAGACUGAAGAUGGGAAUGAGAGUAACGAGUAGAGAGGUUAUCUGGGAUAAUUAGCACAGUACUUGGCACACAGUGUCUUAAUUUUGUUCCUGUCUUUGGAUCCCAGACCCCAGCCACUCUCUCCUCCCUCCAUACACAGCCUGCUCAUCCCCCUAGUGAACCAGACUGAUAAAAAUCUGUGUCCCUAACGCCCGUGUUUUUGAAAAGCUAGAGAGAGCAGCUGGUGUUUUUGCAGCCUGUUCUCCCCCUUCCCUCUCGUAUUUGACCUAGAUGCGACAACUCACUGCGGAAAGAUCAUUCCUGUUCUGUGACAGAAGAAGAAAUGCUGAUGGCCCACAUGAUACUGUGGGUCUCCACGGCGACACUGCAUACAGAGCAGCCCCUGAAGAAUGCUGAAGGGAAGGCCAAGAGCUCUGAAAGAUCCCUGGAAGGGAGCCAAAAGCGCACUGCUUAACCUCUGUCCAACCCGUAUAGUGGCUAUCGCGCUCAGGGCAGGUCUUGCUUGUUGUGAUGGCGUACACCUAUAACCACAACACUUGGGAGGCUGAGGGAUUACAGGACACCGAAGAAUGCUAUUCCAGAGGAUGCAGUGGGAAAUAUCCGGAACCUCACAGGAAUGACACAGGGCCAAACCCAGGUUCAGCAAGCACCCUUUGGCCACCUGCUGUGAGCCGAGGCAACCUCCACAGAGAUUCACAGCCAGCGGGUCCCGACAACACAGCAAUUUCAUUUGGGAAAAACGCUUGCUGUGAAUAUUGACUAAUAUUUUUCUGAGUUUACUAGGUGCCCACUGUUUUAAAAGACAUUAAACAAGACGAUCAGAUUCUUGCCUUCAAGCAACUUGUCUUUCAAUGACUUUUCUACAUAUGGUGUGUUCUCUACUUAUUAUUUUUUCUCUACUUAUUUUUUAAAGGCACAAUUUACGGGCAGUCACCCUUUUAAGGAUAUAGUCCUAUGAGCAUUGACAAAUGUGGCUGUGUAGCCAUCAUCAAAACCAAAAUAUAGCAGUACACUUCCGCUGCCUCUAUAACCUUUCUCUGUGCUUUGGCACUAAUCUACCCUUCAGCUCUAACCACUGCCUGCCUCUGCCCCCGUUUCUGUUCUUGUAGCUCCUCCUUCAAUCUGAAUGAAAUCUUAUAGUGGGUAGCCUUUUUAAAACAGGUGUGUGUGUGUGUGUGUGUGUGUGUGUGUGUGUGUGUGUGUGUAUGUAUGUGUGUGUGUGUGUGUGUGUGUAAGAGACAGACAGACAGACAGACAGAGACACACAGAGAGCCAGAGUGCACAUGUAGAGCACAUGCCUGUAGAAGACAGUUCUUUCUUUCAGGAGCUCCUUCCACAGCAGGUUCCAGGUGUCAAAUGCAGGUCAUCAGGCUUGUGGGACAAGUGCUUUUGUCCCCUGGGUCUUGCUGGCCCCAGUGUGUAGCUUUCUGUGUAGUUGUUUUGGUUUUUGUUUGUUUUUCUUGGUGCUGAGGGUUGACUCUGGCCCUUGUGCCAGCGAGGCCUGUGCUCCUCCACUGAGCUAUAGUCCUACCUACAGUGGCCACCACCGUUUUGAUUUGCUUUGGGGG